rnacentral:rRNA from 1 species
UACGGAGGAUGCAAGCGUUAUCCGGAUUCAUUGGGUUUAAAGGGUGCGUAGGCGGAACAGUAAGUCAGUGGUGAAAUCCUGCGGCUUAACCGCAGAACUGCCAUUGAUACUGCUGUUCUUGAGUACAGUUGAGGUGGGCGGAACGUGUCAUGUAGCGGUGAAAUGCUUAGAUAUGACACUGAACACCGAUUGCGCAGGCAGCUCACUAACCUGUAACUGACGCUGAGGCACGAAAGCAUGGGGAGCAAACAGG